GAAAGUAAUAAAGGGCGUAUGGGGGAUGCCUAGGCUCUUGGAGGCGAAGAAAGACGUGGUAAGCUGCGAUAAGCCUCGGGGAUUUGCAAACGAGAAUUGAUCCGAGGAUUUCUGAAUGGGACAACCCGGCAGGCAGAAGGCCUGUCACACGAAAGUGGGCCAACCCUCUGAACUGAAACAUCUUAGUAGGAGGAGGAAAAGAAAGAAACAUCGAUUUCCUAAGUAGCGGCGAGCGAACGGGAAACAGCCUAAACCACAAUUGUUACGGCAACUGUGGGGUUGUAGGACUGCAAUAUUCAAAUGACUGUGAACUGGAAUGUUCUGGAAAGUUCAUCCAUAGAGAGUGAAAGACUCGUACAGGCAAGCACGUCAGGCGAUAGCAGUAUCCUGAGUAGGGCGGGACACGAGGAAUCCUGUCUGAAUCCGCCGGGACCACCCGGUAAGGCUAAAUACUCCCAAGAGACCGAUAGUGAACCAGUACCGUGAGGGAAAGGUGAAAAGAACCCCGAACAGGGGAGUGAAAUAGAACCUGAAACCAUACGCUUACAACCUGUCGGAGCGGCUUCGUGCCGUGACGGCGUGCCUAUUGAAUAAUGAGCCUACGAGUUACUAAUCACUGGCAAGGUUAAGUGCACGGAUGCACGGAGCCGAAGCGAAAGCGAGUCUGAAUAGGGCGUUUAGUCAGUGGUUGUAGACGCGAAACCUUGCGAUCUACCCUUGAGCAGGUUGAAGGUUGGGUAAAACCAACUGGAGGACCGAACGAAUAAGCGUUGAAAAGCUUCUCGAUGACUUGAGGGUAGGGGUGAAAGGCUAAUCAAGCUGGGAAAUAGCUCGUACUCCCCGAAAUGCCUUUAGGGGCAGCGUUGUAAUUGAGAGUCUACUGGAGGUAGAGCUACUGAUUGGAUGCGGGGGCUUCACCGCCUACCAAAUCCUGACAAACUCCGAAUGCCAGUAGUAUGAUUUACAGCAGUGAGCGACCGGGUGCUAAUGUCCGGUUACGAGAGUGGAACAACACAGACCAGCAACUAAGGUCCCCAAGAGUAUACUAAGUUGAUCUAACGAUGUUUUGCUGCAGAGACAGCUAGGAUGUUAGCUUGGAAGCAGCUAUUCAUUCAAAGAGUGCGUAACAGCUCACUAGUCGAGCGGCAAAGCGUGGAUAAUAAACGGGCAUCAAGUAUACCACCGAAGUUCUGGGCACGAAAGUGCGGUAGGGGAGCAUUCCAUUCCGCGUUGAAGCCGAACCGUGAGGUUUGGUGGAGUGUAUGGAAAAGCAAAUGUAGGCAUGAGUAACGAUAAUGCGGGAGAGUAACCCGCACACCGCAAGACCAAGGUUUCCUGAUCAACGCUAAUCGGAUCAGGGUUAGUCGGGUCCUAAGGGUAAGCCGAACGGUGAUCUCGAUGGAUAAUCGGUUAAUAUUCCGAUACUGACAUAUACCUCGAUGGAGAGACGAAGGAACGUAAGUGCCGCCACCUGACGGAAUAGGUGGUUAAAGGGCUUAGGUAUAGGGGCAGAUUAAGAGUUAGUCCUUGCUGAAACCUGACAGUACAGAGAGCCUACGGGCAAUUUGAUAGUGCACCCAAGUCGACUUCCGAGAAAAUCUUCUAAGUUAUAGUAUAUGUCACCCGUACCGUAAACCGACACAGGUGGUCGAGGAGAGUAUCCUAAGGUGCUCGAGUGAAUCACGGUUAAGGAACUAGGCAAAUUAACCCCGUAACUUCGGGAAAAGGGGUCCCAUCGCGAGGUGGGCGCAGCGAAGAGGUCCAGGCGACUGUUUAUCAAAAACACAGGGCUCUGCAAAUUCGAAAGAAGACGUAUAGGGCCUGACACCUGCCCGGUGCUGGAAGGUUAAGAGGGGAUGUCAUCGCAAGAGAAGCAUUGAAUCGAAGCCCCAGUAAACGGCGGCCGUAACUAUAACGGUCCUAAGGUAGCGAAAUUCCUUGUCGGGUAAGUUCCGACCUGCACGAAUGGUGUAA
rnacentral:rRNA from 1 species